rnacentral:rRNA from 1 species
UAUUAUUUUUGAUGUUAAUUAUUUAACCUGAGUAGUAUUAGAUAUGGUCUUGAAACUUAAAGAAUUUGGCAGUAUUUUAUUCUGUUUAGAGGAACCUGUUCUUUUAUCGAUAAUCCUCGUUGGACCUUACUUAGUUUAUUGAUUUGUAUACCGCCGUUGUAUAGAAGAUCUUUAUAGUGUUUUUAAUUUUCUGGAUUUUGUUUGAAAUUAUUUCAGGUCAAGGUGCAAUUUAUGAUUAAGUAGAAAUGGGUUACGUUUAUAUGUAUUUUUGGAUUAUUAAAUGGAAUUUUAAUAUGAAAUUGGAUUUGAAUGUAAUUAUUAUUUUAGAUUGUAGUAAUGAUUUAGUUUCUAGAGUGUGUACACAUCGCCCGUCACUCUCGUUAUUUAUUCGAG